GAUAAUUUAGUGAAGUUCACGUCAUUAUUUCAUGAUGAAGAUGUUUUAGUUUUCU
rnacentral:tRNA from 1 species